rnacentral:rRNA from 1 species
AGUGAACGCUGGCGGCGUGCCUAAUACAUGCAAGUCGAACGAUGAAGCAACUAGCUUGCUAGUUGUGGAUUAGUGGCGCACGGGUGAGUAAAGUAUAGUUAAUCUGCCCUACACAAGAGGACAACAGUUGGAAACGACUGCUAAUACUCUAUACUCCUAUUUAACAUAAGUUGAGUAGGGAAAGUUUUUCGGUGUAGGAUGAGACUAUAUAGUAUCAGCUAGUUGGUGAGGUAAUGGCUCACCAAGGCUAUGACGCUUAACUGGUCUGAGAGGAUGAUCAGUCACACUGGAACUGAGACACGGUCCAGACUCCUACGGGAGGCAGCAGUAGGGAAUAUUGCGCAAUGGGGGAAACCCUGACGCAGCAACGCCGCGUGGAGGAUGACACUUUUCGGAGCGUAAACUCCUUUUCUUAGGGAAGAAUUCUGACGGUACCUAAGGAAUAAGCACCGGCUAACUCCGUGCCAGCAGCCGCGGUAAUACGGAGGGUGCAAGCGUUACUCGGAAUCACUGGGCGUAAAGGGCGCGUAGGCGGAUUAUCAAGUCUCUUGUGAAAUCUAAUGGCUCAACCAUUAAACUGCUUGGGAAACUGAUAAUCUAGAGUGAGGGAGAGGCAGAUGGAAUUGGUGGUGUAGGGGUAAAAUCCGUAGAUAUCACCAAGAAUACCCAUUGCGAAGGCGAUCUGCUGGAACUUAACUGACGCUAAGGCGCGAAAGCGUGGGGAGCAAACAGGAUUAGAUACCCUGGUAGUCCACGCCCUAAACGAUGUACACUAGUUGUUGGGAUGCUAGUCAUCUCAGUAAUGCAGCUAACGCAUUAAGUGUACCGCCUGGGGAGUACGGUCGCAAGAUUAAAACUCAAAGGAAUAGACGGGGACCCGCACAAGCGGUGGAGCAUGUGGUUUAAUUCGAAGAUACGCGAAGAACCUUACCUGGGCUUGAUAUCCUAAGAACCUUAUAGAGAUAUGAGGGUGCUAGCUUGCUAGAACUUAGAGACAGGUGCUGCACGGCUGUCGUCAGCUCGUGUCGUGAGAUGUUGGGUUAAGUCCCGCAACGAGCGCAACCCACGUAUUUAGUUGCUAACGGUUAGGCCGAGCACUCUAAAUAGACUGCCUUCGUAAGGAGGAGGAAGGUGUGGACGACGUCAAGUCAUCAUGGCCCUUAUGCCCAGGGCGACACACGUGCUACAAUGGCAUAUACAAUGAGACGCAAUAUCGCAAGGUGGAGCAAAUCUAUAAAAUAUGUCCCAGUUCGGAUUGUUCUCUGCAACUCGAGAGCAUGAAGCCGGAAUCGCUAGUAAUCGUAGAUCAGCCAUGCUACGGUGAAUACGUUCCCGGGUCUU